GACGAACGCUGGCGGCGUGCUUAACACAUGCAAGUCGAACGGGCCUGUCUUCUUUUUUGGGGGUGGGUUGAGUGGCGAACGGGUGAGUAUCACGCGAGUAACCUGCCCUUCGGUCCUGGAUAACCGCUUGAAAGGGCGGCUAAUACGGGGUGGUCCGGUUGGUCCGCAUGGGCUGGUCGGGAUAGAUUCACUGUUUUUGGUGUUUCGGCGGGGGAUGGGCUCGCGGCCUAUCAGCUUGUUGGUGGGGUGAUGGCCUACCAAGGCGGUGACGGGUAGCCGGCCUGAGAGGGUGGGCGGCCACACUGGGACUGAGAUACGGCCCAGACUCCUGCGGGAGGCAGCAGUGGGGGGUAUUGCACAAUGGGCGGAAGCCUGAUGCAGCGACGUCGCGUGAGGGAUGGAGGCCUUCGGGUUGUGAACCUCUGUUUCCGGUGGUGAAGGCCCUGUCCGUGUGGUGGGGUUGACGGUAGCCGGGGAUGAAGCGCCGGCUAACUACGUG
rnacentral:rRNA from 1 species